GCCGAAAUAGCUCAGUUAGCGGGAGAGCGUUAGACUGAAAUUUAAAGGUCCCUGGUUCCGUCCGGGUUUCGGCA